rnacentral:rRNA from 1 species
UACCAGCACCCCGAGUGGUCGGGACGUUUUAUUGGGCCUAAAGCAUCCGUAGCCGGUUCUACAAGUCUUCCGUUAAAUCCAACUGCUUAACAGGUGGGCUGCGGAAGGUACUAUAGAGCUAGGAGGCGGGAGAGGCAAGCGGUACUCGAUGGGUAGGGGUAAAAUCCGUUGAUCCAUUGAAGACCACCAGUGGCGAAGGCGGCUUGCCAGAACGCGCUCGACGGUGAGGGAUGAAAGCUGGGGGAGCAAACCGG